rnacentral:rRNA from 5 species
CAUGCAAGUCGAGCGGAGAGAGGUAGCUUGCUACUGAUCUUAGCGGCGGACGGGUGAGUAAUGCUUAGGAAUCUGCCUAUUAGUGGGGGACAACAUUUCGAAAGGAAUGCUAAUACCGCAUACGUCCUACGGGAGAAAGCAGGGGAUCUUCGGACCUUGCGCUAAUAGAUGAGCCUAAGUCGGAUUAGCUAGUUGGUGGGGUAAAGGCCUACCAAGGCGACGAUCUGUAGCGGGUCUGAGAGGAUGAUCCGCCACACUGGGACUGAGACACGGCCCAGACUCCUACGGGAGGCAGCAGUGGGGAAUAUUGGACAAUGGGCGCAAGCCUGAUCCAGCCAUGCCGCGUGUGUGAAGAAGGCCUUAUGGUUGUAAAGCACUUUAAGCGAGGAGGAGGCUACUUUAGUUAAUACCUAGAGAUAGUGGACGUUACUCGCAGAAUAAGCACCGGCUAACUCUGUGCCAGCAGCCGCGGUAAUACAGAGGGUGCAAGCGUUAAUCGGAUUUACUGGGCGUAAAGCGCGCGUAGGCGGCUAAUUAAGUCAAAUGUGAAAUCCCCGAGCUUAACUUGGGAAUUGCAUUCGAUACUGGUUAGCUAGAGUGUGGGAGAGGAUGGUAGAAUUCCAGGUGUAGCGGUGAAAUGCGUAGAGAUCUGGAGGAAUACCGAUGGCGAAGGCAGCCAUCUGGCCUAACACUGACGCUGAGGUGCGAAA